AAACUCCUGUGAGUACAACACUUUGUACGCUGUGUUUCUGUUAAUCGUCGUAUUCUUCAGAUCUCACGAGCCUUUCAUGGAACGACGCAGACUGCAGGACCAAGUGGAACAGCUACUUAUUUGCAGCACACAAGCCAUCUGUGUGAGGUCACCUGUCCCCGGCUAUCCACACCACAGACUCAUGUUCACUUACAAAUCAACCAACGUGUCCACUGGAUUCGCUCUGGCGGGAAAAUGCACCAAACAAUCACAUUUGUAUUUCUUGCAUGUGUCUCACUUUUGCUGUUUCUCCUGUCACUCACUCACUCGCAAACAAAUAUUGGAAGACUUACAUCCAGUAAGCUGCGCACACACACACACACACACACACACAGACACACACACACAUGAUUGAUUUGCCCCCUCUCCAGUUUUACAACGACUGCUUUGGCAGUUUGGCAAACAGCCGGUGUUUACUGAGCCUGUCGAUGGGCUAUGUAAUCGUAUAUUUCCACCGAGAGUGUCUGUUAGCAAGGACGCUAAUUAGCAAACGAUUAAGCUCUCACACAAAAGAGGUUCUUCAGAUUAAUUGGCGGUAAAGUUAACAAAAGCUUGUGGCUCAGUAAAUAGUUUAGCGAGAACAAUAGCACACCUUGUCACACUGUGUUUUAUGUUUUCAGAUGAGUAAUUGCUAUUGUGUAGACUAAGGACGUAUCACUGUUCAACCACGGCUCUCUACAGUGAACAAAGUUACACACGAUGACAAGCAUGAAGACGCCGCCCGGCUCCAGAUCACGUGCUUGAGCAAUACUUGGUACGGGCUGCAUUGACAAAUGUGUACACGAAGCAACAACAUGUACAACUAAAACAUACGUAUUUGGGGAAAAUACAUUCUUUGGAAGCAGUCUCCGUUGAUCCAGGGGCGUCCUGAAACUAUUUGCUCCAAACAACAAUUUGCAAAAACAUCUGUUAAUGAAGAGGGCGUCCCAACUAGGGGUUUGUAAAUGGUGGAAACAGUUAAAGAUCCCACCGACUGGCUACGAAACUGGGAAAUUGCUUUCCUGAACUCCAGCAGUGCUUCCGGUCUACACAACUAUUUACCUCUGGACCUCGUUGGAUCAGCAGUGUAAACAAGACACAACCUACAAACUGGUUAUAUAGUUUAUCUAACGAGAAUAAACAUGGAAAUACUGCAGCCCCAACAUCAUCCAGAUUAGGCUGCGGAAUAAAUUUGGCAUUUAAAGAAAAAAAAAUGUUUGCUGAUGCAACAAGAAAGCAAGAGAUGAAACCUCCUAAUGAGCAUGUCUGGUAGCAAUGUAUGUUUUGCUUCUUUAACAGACAUGUACACAUGUACAAGCAGUUCUGAAAGUGGGAACCCGGCCGUGCCUUCUCCUCCUCCCCAAUGAACAAAGAUGAAUGCUUGUUUGCAAAAUAACCUGUUGGUUUUUUACAGGGAAUCCACCAACCUUAUUGUGUCAACUUCAAGAAGAUAUUUAUUAGAGAUUUGUCCCGCUUAUGUUUCCGACAAGCAACACACGACACAACAAUGACACAAAUACUGACACAGUACCAAUGUCUAUAAUAGUGUUAAGAGUUCAAAGUAGGAAGGGACAGACAUUUUUGGCAUCCAGUAAAAAUAUGUAAAAAUUGGCGCAUGUGGCUCAAUUACUUCUUCCAUAUUAAAACUGGUCUAUACUAACAGUCACAAUAGAUUAGACCUCUCUAUAAGGGAGAAGAGCAUACUCUUUAUUGGUUAAGAUUAUUUUACAGACUGAUGCUGAUUCCUACAGCAAUUAGGCAGCUGUUAAAUGGUUUAUUACUAAAUGGCCUCUGGCACUCAACAGAUGUUCAGAAAUCAUACAGAUGAGAUCACUUUAUGUUGAUGACACAGUUACAGGCAGUGAUUCCAUUAAGAGUAAAACAAGAUACGAUGUUAACGGUUAUGAUACAGAUCCAAAUAUAAACCCGAAAAAGACCCUUAGCGGUUGUAAUCACCACCAAGUAGUUACAAUUUGUCAUAAUAAUUGAAAGGGACAGAAAAAACAAACCACCCUGAUCGGACUUUUCCCAUGUAUUGUAUACAUCAUUUCCAUGGUUACCUAUGGUGGGGAGAGAAAACAGCAUUUCAUCCUAGGACGAAGCAAAGAAUAAAAGCAGAAGAGACUCCAUCACAAAUAGAUGUAUGCACAGCCUUUUUCUAAAUUCUGGGCAGGUUUUCCAUCGGUAAAAUUCCUGAUGAUCUGAGCUGGGCUGAACGUGCGCUGGGUACUGAUGUGACUAACAGAACACUCCAGCAGCCGGGCGCCGGUUGGGCUGUUGCAGAGGACACUGGGUAAUAAGGCUGCAGAUGACUGAAACCAAAAAAACGAAAUGGGAGAGUGGGGAUUGGUAAUGUUUGUGAGUGCCUGUGUGUCUGUGUGUGGGUGUGUGUGUGUGUUCAUAUGGGGCUGAAUGAAAUAUCUUUUGUUGUCAGGGUGCACCAUGCAAAAGGGAAAAAAACGACAGUACAUUCGGUAUUAUUCAGGUGAAAAAAUGAGUCUCCUAAUGUGUGUGUGUCUAAUAAUUUUUUCUAUGGAUAAAGAAAAUUAAGUAAGAAAAUAUGCACUUGCAGCAGUAAAGCCAGCUUCAGCAAAAUGUACAUAGUGCCUGAAUUUUGUCGUUUAUAUAAUUAUUUACUUUUAUAUGCAAAAUGUUGUCUCUGUACAUCGUGUUAGGAUUAACUCACUAACCUUGGGUCACAAAUAUUUGCAUUCUAAAGAUAGGGGCGUUGCUAUUAAACUGAUAAUAUAAUUUAUAGCUUUGAUUGCAUGAAUCUUCUUGGACAGAUACACUUUUGCUGACUAUGUGACGCUGUGUCUGAGACGUUUAAUAAAAACUGACUGUAUUUUUAAUUUC